UGCCCAGCAACUCCUAUCCCUACCUCCUCGCGGUACUGGCCGGGGUACGAGUAACCUUAGGGAAGAUCGGGUAAUCAAUUCCCGAUGGGAACUUUGGUCGUAUGCUGACAGGGAAGG
rnacentral:ribozyme from 1 species